AACCGUUUUAUAAAGCAUAGUGGGAGUAUUAUAUACAACUAAAAACAAUCAUAUGGACCAAUAGUUGUAAUAGGACCAAAAUGGUUUUAAUAGAGAUUAAAAUGUAUGUUUAUAUGUGAUGAGACCUAAAACCCUCAACCAAACUAUUAUUAAGUUGAUAAGCAUGAGAGUGCUUAGAACACUCUUUCGUAGGCCUUCCACCGUGGUGGGAUCCAAUCGUUUAUGACUUGUACACCGGCUUCACCCUAUCAUGGGGGAGUACAAAGUGCAUGCUUAUACUCAGGAGGAAUCCAUACACAUAUGAUGAGGUGAGUGUAGGCAACGAGGAUGGCCGACAUCGUAUCAUCGUGAGGCUAUUCUUGAACCCCUUCACGCACUAAGCAUGGUGGGAAUGACUUAACUAAGUGCAAUGGAGCCAACAUCAUAUCAUUGUGAGGUUACAUUCUCUAGAGGCCAAAUAAGAUGGGUACUUGCAUUAGUUGCAAAUGAGUAAGCGUACUCUCUCAUUAUUAUUGUUGCUAGCCAAACAUCGUAUCAUCGUGAGGUGGGCUUGGUAAUAGUGAGCCUCCCAUAACCUACUAGGAGUUUCAUCCAAAACUCUCGAAUUCCUUUGAGGGAUAUGGAAUUUGCCAAAAAUAGUGGGUGGUGCUAUUUGAUUUAAAGACCCGGAUCAAAUGGCUUAAAAUCAAUCAACUAUAUUCGUUAUGUAUUUGUUUACCAAUAUAUUUGCAAACGCUAUCCAAAACUUGACAAAGAAAAGCCGAAUGCUUUAGUUUUCGGACUUGGUAACACAAUCCCAAAGAUUGUCUUAAAUGGAUUGUAUAUGUAUCUAAGUAGUCUCAUCCUCACAAUCUUCCUAAUGAUAAUGUAUCAUUGGAAGAACAUGUUAGAAAAGU
rnacentral:lncRNA from 1 species